AGCGAACGCUGGCGGCAGGCCUAACACAUGCAAGUCGAACGGAUCCUUCGGGAUUAGUGGCGGACGGGUGAGUAACACGUGGGAACGUGCCCUUUGGUUCGGAACAACUCAGGGAAACUUGAGCUAAUACCGGAUGUGCCCUUCGGGGGAAAGAUUUAUCGCCAUUGGAGCGGCCCGCGUCUGAUUAGCUAGUUGGUGAGGUAAAGGCUCACCAAGGCGACGAUCGGUAGCUGGUCUGAGAGGAUGAUCAGCCACAUUGGGACUGAGACACGGCCCAAACUCCUACGGGAGGCAGCAGUGGGGAAUCUUGCGCAAUGGGCGAAAGCCUGACGCAGCCAUGCCGCGUGAAUGAUGAAGGUCUGAGGAUUGUAAAAUUCUUUCACCGGGGACGAUAAUGACGGUACCCGGAGAAGAAGCCCCGGCUAACUUCGUGCCAGCCGCCGCAGUAAAAC
rnacentral:rRNA from 1 species